AAAAAAAAAAAAAAAAAAAAAAAAAAAAAAAUGACAAAGACAUACACUACCAUCCAUAGAUCUAAUGUCAAAUAUGGAGAAUCGAUCUCUUUUUUUUUCUGUUCUUUUUUUUUCUUUUUUU
rnacentral:ribozyme from 1 species